AGUGAACGCUGGCGGUAGGCCUAACACAUGCCAGUCGAACGGCAGCACAGUAAGAGCUUGCUCUUACGGGUGGCGAGUGGCGGACGUGUGAGGAAUACAUCGGAAUCUACUUUUUCGUGGGGGAUAACGUAGGGAAACUUACGCUAAUACCGCAUACGACCUACGGGUGAAAGCAGGGGAUCUUCGGACCUUGCGCGAUUGAAUGAGCCGAUGUCGGAUUAGCUAGUUGGCGGGGUAAAGGCCCACCAAGGCGACGAUCCGUAGCUGGUCUGAGAGGAUGAUCAGCCACACUGGAACUGAGACACGGUCCAGACUCCUACGGGAGGCAGCAGUGGGGAAUAUUGGACAAUGGGCGCAAGCCUGAUCCAGCCAUACCGCGUGGGUGAAGAAGGCCUUCGGGUUGUAAAGACCUUUUGUUGGGAAAGAAAAGCAGCAGGUUAAUACCCCGCUGUUCUGACGGUACCCAAAGAAUAAGCACCGGCUAACUUCGUG
rnacentral:rRNA from 1 species